rnacentral:rRNA from 1 species
AGAACUGUGGGGACACGUAAGGAGAGCGGGAGCCGGGAAUGGAAAGCCCGGUACAAGCGAGGUACCAGUAUGGUAGGAAAAUCCGCCAUGCAAUGGGAAGACGUGAUGUGGAGUGAAAUAUAGUAACGAAGCCCGUGAGCCAUGCGUCAAGAAAAGCCGCUAUUGUUUAUAUUGUACCCGUACCGUAAACUGACACAGGUGGAUGAGGAGAGAAUCCUAAGGCCGGCGGAAGAAGUAUUGCCAAGGAACUCGGCAAAAUGGCCCCGUAACUUAGGGAGAAGGGGUGCCUGCGAGAGCAGGCCGCAGAGAAUAGGCUCAAGCAACUGUUUAGCAAAAACACAGGUCUAUGCGAAACCGAAAGGUGAGGUAUAUGGGCUGACGCCUGCCCGGUGCUGGAAGGUUAAGAGGAGAGGUUAGACGCAAGUCGAAGCUUUGAAUUUAAGCCCCAGUAAACGGCGGCCGUAACUAUAACGGUCCUAAGGUAGCGAAAUUCCUUGUCGGGUAAGUUCCGACCCGCACGAAAGGCGUAAUGAUUUGAGCGCUGUCUCGGCAAUACAUCCGGUGAAAUUGAAGUGCCAGUGAAGAUGCUGGCUACCCGCGCCAGGACGGAAAGACCCCAUGGAGCUUUACUCCAGUUUGGCACUGGGGUCCGGUGUUGCAUGUACAGGAUAGGUGGGAGGCUGAGAGAUAGUGACGUCAGUCGCUAUGGAGCCGCUGUUGGGAUACCACCCUUGUGAUAUUGGGCUUCUAACCAGCCGCCGUGAACCGGCGGUGGGACAAUGCCAGGCGGGGAGUUUGACUGGGGCGGUCGCCUCCGAAAGGGUAUCGGAGGCGCCCAAAGGUUCCCUCAGAAUGGACGGAAACCAUUCGAAGAGUGCAAAGGCAGAAGGGAGCUUGACUGCGACACCGACGGGUGGAGCAGGUACGAAAGUAGGGCUUAGUGAUCCGGUGGUAUUAAGUGGGAAUGCCAUCGCUCAACGGAUAAAAGCUACCCUGGGAUAACAGGCUUAUCACUCCCAAGAGUUCACAUCGACGGAGUGGUUUGGCACCUCGAUGUCGGCUCAUCGCAUCCUGGGGCUGUAGUAGGUCCCAAGGGUUGGGCUGUUCGCCCAUUAAAGCGGUACGCGAGCUGGGUUCAGAACGUCGUGAGACAGUUCGGUCCCUAUCCGGCGUGGGCGCAGGAUAUCUGAGAGGAGCUGUCCUUAGUACGAGAGGACCGGGAUGGACGGACCGCUGGUGGACCGGUUGGCUUGCCAAAGCCAUGGCCGGGUAGCCAAGUCCGGAAGGGAUAAACGCUGAAGGCAUCUAAGCGUGAAGCCCCCCUCAAGAUGAGAUAUCCCAUUCUUUAAGAAGUAAACCCCCUUGAAGACGACGAGGUAGAUAGGGCAGAGGUGGAAGUGUGGUAACACAUGGAGCUGACUGUUACUAAUCGGGUGAGGGCUUGACC